GUGGAUUAGAUACCCUGGUAGUCCACGCCGUAAACGAUGAGUGCUAAGUGUUGGGGGGUUUCCGCCCCUCAGUGCUGCAGCUAACGCAUUAAGCACUCCGCCUGGGGAGUACGCACGCAAGUGUGAAACUCAAAGGAAUUGACGGGGGCCCGCACAAGCGGUGGAGCAUGUGGUUUAAUUCGAAGCAACGCGAAGAACCUUACCAGGUCUUGACAUCCCAUUGACCACUGUAGAGAUACAGUUUUCCCUUCGGGGACAACGGUGACAGGUGGUGCACGGUUGUCGUCUGCU
rnacentral:rRNA from 1 species